CAUAUUAUGCAAAGAUAGAGUGCCUUUGGGGGAUUUCAACCACUAGCUUCCCGCUCACUAAGAAUGCGUGAACUGAACGACGAGAAAGUGACGGAAAACUGCCAGACGUUUCGUGCUCUAUAAAAGAAAACGGAACCCAAUAACGGGUUUAAGAGGAGUUGGGGAAGCUGUAGCCAACAAAAUCAAAAGCGGUUUUAUGCAAAACCAGAAAUGGUUUUUCUUCUUUUGCUUCAUUUGGUUGCAGCUGGUGAAUUCCAAAGGGAUCGCAUUGAUCCAUCAGAUUCUCUUAGCAGUAGUUGUCAAUGAUGGAUGCAGCAAAGAUUAAUUAGGGUUUUAGUUUCUGAAUCAUUUCUGCUAAGUUUCAUUAGAUCAUGCGAUCCCUUCGGAAUUCUCCAUCUGUGGCUUUACAUCAUUUUCUUCCAAGCUACGCCUACACUUCUGUGAUUUGCUUAUUUCUGUUAAAGCGGUUUCCCUUCUACUAAAGGUGGUUUUGGCUUCCAAGUUGGCUUGUUCUUAACCCUUUAAGGCAAAGAUGAAAAGGGGAAAAGGAAAAAGGGAAGAAUGUUUAUGCGUGUUGGGUAGUGGCCACUGAAUGGAUUUUAUUGUUAUUUUAUGUAGUUUAAACGUCAAAUUUCCUCUCUCUAAAAUCUGAAUUGAGAUACCCAUUUCAAGGUUUUCUGUCACAUCUUCAUAUCCGUUUUUCAUAUAUUAACUUUUUUAUUUCCUAAGAUUAUUAUUAUUAUUUGUAGAAGCAAAGCUGAAGAGAUUCUCUGCCAGAAACUGUUGGUGGUGAAUUGCUGUCACUGGGGAUGUUGAGAUGAUGAUAAGCUCACUGGGUAUGAACUAUGAAUGAUGUACAACAUAAAUUGACUUAUUUUAUAAUAUCAUAUGAAUGCUAUUUCUGUUUCUUAAAGAAUAAUGGAGAACAAAAUCAUAUAGAAGGAAGAUGGAAAGCCUUUAUAUCUUUCUAUGUUCUUGAUAUAUUUGUAGUUAAACACCAUUACCAGACAGUUCUUCUUUGUUGUGGAGACUGAACAAAGAAACCCUUACCUAAUUCUUCACAUCUGAACGUAAUAUGAUACCUGGUAGAGGAUCCAAUGUAGGUGGUAGUUCUGUGUAUUCUUAUUUGGAUUUGUCUUUGCAGAUUCAUCAAGAAGAUAGGGCCUUAAGGGCCAAAGGGGUAUUUGAGUUGGAUUACACAUUAAAUUUUGCAGGACUGAUGGUUUUUUGUUUGAUAUGUACCCCAACUGUUUGUUAUUGUGACACUGUAGCCUUACCCAGCUGGAUAGCUAAGUUUGGGUCCUUCAAAAGGUCAGGUGGUGUGGUUGGUGUCCAGAAAGCAUCUCUCUGACUAUUGUUCCAUGUGGGUGUUGUAAUAUAUUUGCCAGUUCUCAGUUUGAUUUGAUAUAGCCUCCAUUGAUGACACAGGUUUGCAGUCCAUGGCUUGUCCAAUUCAUUUUCACCAUUGCUCAUUUGAAUUGUUAUGAUGUUAGUCCUUUUAGUUCUAAUAUAUAUGUUUAGGUAAGAGAAAAACCCAAAAAAAAUUAAUGAUCUUAAUCAUGGAUGAAUGAGCAUAUUUUGAAAAACCAUCUACCUUCCAUUGUAACUCAAAACAAGAUAAUGUUUCAUGCAUGAUCAACAGAUCCAGUAAUUAGAGUUAAUUUUCUAUCAUGCUAAACUAAUUAUAAAUUUUCUUGAUUGUUCUCAUUAAUCUUGGACUUAAUUGUUAGAUAUCAGGUACUAGGUUUGUUUAUUGACAACUAUGAUUUGUAGAGAAGGUUAAGGAUGCCAAGAUUGGUAAGUACUGCAUACACUGAAAAUACAGAGACACUGUACCAUUACUUGCCAAAUAUGUGGUGCACCUUUACUCAUCCUUGUCUGCAUUCCAUUCAUGGGGUCACUUCCAAUCUUGAACAUCCAAUCAAUGGGGCCUAACUUUCAAUAGUGACAUCUGAACCGACUUGAAAUAUUGAUGAUUGAACCCAAUUACUUCUGCAGCAUCUUCAUCAUCAGAGAACCUUCCCUCGUGCUGAUGAUGAGAUCAUCAAGAACACAACCUUAAUUUCUAAAGAUGAUAUUGGAGCUAGCUAGCUCAGGUACUAUCAUGAUCAUCUAUUUCCUCCAGUGGGUCUUAGGAUGGUGAACCAGUUCAGAGUUGGUUGGACAUUAAUUUCACCAAUAGAACAGCAUGGUUUGUCUUCAUUUUCAGAUCUCAUUUAUUUGCUUUCUUAAUGAGAUUGGUUGUGGAUGAGUGAAUUAUUGAGGAAAUUCAUUUCAUGGUUGAUUGAUCUUUCACUCUCAAUGUCCCCAAAUUCUAAGUCCUGUGAAGAGCAUUCCCUUUCAUUAUCCACUGCAUGUCUACUUGAGUGAAAAUGAAGUUGUUUUGGGACCAUUUCAUUAGUCCAUUCGGGUCAGGCCUAACAAUUGGGAACCAAAGAUGCAUUAUGAAUUAGUAGUAACUUGGGAUUCUUUAUUUUAUCUUCUUUUUGUAGGUUGGGACUUGGCUACUUGGGAGGGGAACUGAGGUCUGAGGAAUGCAUUUGAAGUUGGAAAUGGCCAAUUAAAUGAUUACACCUGUUAUGACACAAUCAUAAUUAGCUUUUUAUGCUCUCUGGAUUUGUGGGUUUUUCCCUUUACUGUUGUGAGAGGAAAAGAAUCAUAUGGGGCUAAGGUUAUGGCAAGCAGUUCGUAUUGCGUGGGGAACCCAAUACACUCCACCAACUAAAAGUUUUAAAAAGCAAAGGAGAAACACUGUGAAGAGAAGGGAAGAUUGAGCAGGAAAGCAGUUCCUAUCAGAUUCUCCCCGAAGGUUGGGGGUUGGGUUUCUUUUCCUCUUUUUUUUCGUUUUCCUUAGUAAUUCUUUUUUGAGCAUACCUGAUUGUAUUUGAUCGAUUCUUUUUUGUUCCAGUUGCUAGCCUGGCAAGUUUUUGAAUAAAAUUUGUUUAAGAGA